UACGAAGGGGGCUAGCGUUGCUCGGAAUCACUGGGCGUAAAGGGGUGCGUAGGCGGGUUUUUAAGUCAGGGGUGAAAUCCUGGAGCUCAACUCCAGAACUGCCUUUGAUACUGAAAAUCUUGAGUCCGGGAGAGGUGAGUGGAACUGCGAGUGUAGAGGUGAAAUUCGUAGAUAUUCGCAAGAACACCAGUGGCGAAGGCGGCUCACUGGCCCGGUACUGACGCUGAGGCACGAAAGCGUGGGGAGCAAACAGGG
rnacentral:rRNA from 1 species